AUUGAACGCUGGCGGCAUGCCUUACACAUGCAAGUCGAACGGCAGCGGGGACGUCGGUCCGCCGGCGAGUGGCGAACGGGUGAGUAAUGUAUCGGAACGUACCAUUCAGUGGGGGAUAACUAUCCGAAAGGAUAGCUAAUACCGCAUAUUCUGUGAGCAGGAAAGCAGGGGAUCGCAAGACCUUGCGCUGAUUGAGCGGCCGAUAUCAGAUUAGCUAGUUGGUGAGGUAACGGCUCACCAAGGCUACGAUCUGUAGCGGGUCUGAGAGGAUGAUCCGCCACACGGGGACGGAGACACGGCCCAGACUCCUACGGGAGGCAGCAGUGGGGAAUUUUGGACAAUGGGCGCAAGCCUGAUCCAGCCAUGCCGCGGGAGUGAAGAAGGCCUUCGGGUUGUAAAGCUCUUUCGGCCGGGAAGAAAUCGCAUCAGCUAAUACCUGGUGUGGAUGACGGUACCGGAAUAAGAAGCACCGGCUAACUACGUGCCAGCCGCCGCAGUAAUAC
rnacentral:rRNA from 1 species